rnacentral:sRNA from 2 species
AACACUCGAACACCGCUUGGUAGGAGCGGGGGACCCACUUGCGGGCACCGACUCCGGUCGGGGUCCUUGGGGUGAAGCCGGCGGAUCCGUGUGAUCACCGGCCGGGCAGCAAUCUCUCGCCCGAACCCGACAGCUCACCUCGUAGGCGUCGAGAGGUCAC